rnacentral:rRNA from 1 species
AUACGGAGGAUUCGAGCGUUAUCCGGAAUUAUUGGGUUUAAAGGGUGCGCAGGCGGACCGUUAAGUCAGCGGUGAAAAUCUGGUGCUUAACAUCAGGAGUGCCGUUGAUACUGGCGGACUAGAGUAUGAUUGACGUAAGUGGAAUGUAGCAUGUAGCGGUGAAAUGCAUAGAGAUGCUACAGAACACCGAUAGCGAAGGCAGCUUACGAAGUCACAACUGACGCUCAGGCACGAAAGCGUGGGGAGCGAACAGGAUUAGAUACCCUGGUAGUCCACGCAGUAAACGAUGAUAACUGGCUUUUGGCGAUAGACGGUCAGAGGCUGAGAGAAAUCAAUAAGUUAUCCACCUGGGGAGUACGAUGGCAACAUUGAAACUCAAAUGAAUUGACGGGG